UACGUAGGGUGCAAGCGUUGUCCGGAAUUAUUGGGCGUAAAGAGCUCGUAGGCGGUUUGUCGCGUCUGCUGUGAAAACGCGAGGCGUCAACCACGCGCCUGCAGUGGGUACGGGCAGACUAGAGUGCGGUAGGGGAGAUUGGAAUUCCUGGUGUAGCGGUGGAAUGCGCAGAUAUCAGGAGGAACACCGAUGGCGAAGGCAGAUCGUCUGGGCCGUAACUGCGCUGAGGAGCGAAGACGUGGGGAGCGAACAGG
rnacentral:rRNA from 1 species